rnacentral:rRNA from 1 species
UACAGAGGGUGCAAACGUUGUUCGGAAUUACUGGGCGUAAAGCGCGUGUAGGCGGCAGGGCAAGUCGGAUGUGAAAUCCCGUGGCUCAACCACGGAAGUGCACCCGAAACUGCCCAGCUAGAGUCUCGGAGAGGAAGGUGGAAUGCUUGGUGUAGAGGUGAAAUUCGUAGAUAUCAAGCGGAACACCGGUGGCGAAGGCGGCCUUCUGGACGAUGACUGACGCUGAGACGCGAAAGCGUGGGGAGCAAACAGGAUUAGAAACCCUGGGUAGUCCAAGACCGAAUGAUACCU